UACGGGGGGGCAAGCGUUGUUCGGAAUUACUGGGCGUAAAGGGCUCGUAGGUGGCCAACUAAGUCAGACGUGAAAUCCCUCAGCUUAACUGGGGAACUGCGUCUGAUACUGGAUGGCUUGAGUUUGGGAGAGGGAUGCGGAAUUCCAGGUGUAGCGGUGAAUGACGUAGAUAUCUGGAGGAACACCGGUGGCGAAGGCGGCAUCCUGGACCAACACUGACACUGAUGAGCGAAAGCCAGGGGAGCAAACGGG
rnacentral:rRNA from 1 species